CCACCCCCACCUCCCACCCAAAGCACCUUAUACCACGGCAGCCUCUCCACCUCCUCUUUCCUCCGCGAACGCGCCGAGCAGCGAUUGAACGCGCUUUGGUCCUCUGCAGGUUUGAGCAGGGCUAGUAGGGGCGUGUUCUGGGCUCUCCGAGCGGGACCGGCUCUGGGCGCUCUCUCUUGCCGCAGCCGAGCUCGACGCCGCCAGUGGCCUCGGAUCGCCUCUCCUCCGACCCUGGACCCGCAGCGGGCCUUUCCCUCCAGGGCUGACCGCGCUGGAGCCGAUGCCACAAAAAGAGCCGCAGAAGCCGCCACUGCCUGCCCGCUGCGCCGAGGGCUCCGCCCGCCCAUAGAGGGGCCGCGAACAAAGGAGAGGAGCUGAGGAGGAUCCAAGAGGUGGCCGCGCCCUCCGUGCCUGCCGCUGUCCGCGGUGCUGACCAGGGCCUUCUUCCCUGCGAUUUCACCCAAAUGCAAUAGGACCCUCCUGCCCUGCCCCGAAGUAUAUAACAGGACAUUAGGCAAUUUGCGAAAGAAACAUUAAAAGCAGCGAAGCGUCGUACACAGCAAAACCUAAUUAUUUCCCGAAACAGUUCACUCUAGCUGUUGCCACACUUCAGGUAGUCAUAUGCAUAUACAGUUCGUGUAUGUGCCCUGGGAAACAACUUCUAUCUAUUUAGGCUGACACCUGAAUCUAAGCAAUGAGCUGGACUUGUAAGGAGAAUGAGGAGAAUUAAGUCUCUCUUUUUAUUUUAUUUUUCCUCUUAAGACAUGUACCUUAAAACAUACGGUCCUCAGCUAUGCAAAAUGCAGGUGUUUUCACCAGAGGGACUCAAGUGUGGACUUUAAGAAGUACCAGGACGGGAUGGGAUGGGAACUGACUAGGUGACCCCCAAAAGGAGCCCACCGCCUAGCCUGAAGCCUGGGGCCAAGUUCACCCCAGGGCAGCCUUCCCUGGCAGGUCCAAAGCGCAGAGCCUGCUUCAGGCUUCCAGGCUGGCGGGAGGCACUGCAGGGCCAGGAGGCCCGGAACCCCGCACUGCGGAAAAACCGGCCACAGCAACAUCCUCAUAUUUCCGGCAGGUGGAAUACGGCAGGGCGGAUUUCUAAAUCCCAGUCAAUGAAGAUUCGCUUGAGGAGUCUAGGGACGUGUGGGUCAGUAUCAGUGUAUUCAAUACAUAUUUAAAUGUCUCAGCAUAUUUCACUGUCUUAACCUAAAUAUUGAUAGCGUUUCUAGAAAUAAAUAUUCUCACUAAAUAAUGAAUCGAAGGGGAGAGGGAGACAGAGAUGGAGCAAGAACCAAGCGACCAAUUUGUAGCCAGCCUGGGCUCUCAAAAUAAAUUGCUACGCGUUUACUCACGUUCAUUUAUAAAUUCAAAAACGUAAAUGAUGUUAAAAUUAGGAGCAGAUAAAACAAUUUAGGCAAUAGAGGCAGCGACACAGAUUUUGAUCCAGACAUAGAAAUGGGCUAUAAAUGGGUCAUACAUUUCAUCCGAUUCAUUCUUUUAUACCUGAAUGAUUGAGAUACAUGAAAUGAUUCAUAAAAUAAAUGACCAAGCACAAUAUCCCCAGCCAGAUAUAUACUUGCCCCACCCACUCAGGGUAGAUUUUAUUUGUCUUCUGAUUUUAGAAGUCCACGAGUCUGGUUUUUCAUAGCUAUUGAUGACUUAGGUUUAUAUUUUAUGUUAUACAAUUUGGGAGUAGGUAAAACAUAUGGGGAAAGGGGGACUACUUGAAUAAUAAAAGGAAAGGGUUGGGGGAAUAUUCUUCUUCAUGUGCCCAUUAAGAGCAGUCAUAUUGAAAUGGGUUUAAAACAUUACAUGUUAACAUGAAAGCCUGGGUUUCCUUCCAGUAUUUAUGCGACUGUACUGAUUGCCUGUGUUACCAUCCCCCCAGGUAGUUCCUGCAGGAACAAGGUCCCAUGUUGCGAAAUAUUCCUGCCUGCGCAGUGCUAUAAUUCACAUUACAUAACAGAAACACACCUAAUCUCUCUCACCCCAAUCCUUCCUGUGCAGGGCAGUCUAAACUCAUCCUCCUGAAAGCUUAAUCAGUUUAAGAAAUUACUUUCUAAGUAGAAAUAAAAUGCAUGCUAUGAAAGAGAAGGUAAAAUACCACUUAGAUAAGGGAACACACAGUUUAGUAAUCUGCUUGCUGCGAUUAAGUCUGAAGUGGUUAUUGAUUUGUGAUAUUUCUAGUUUUUUUAAAAAAGACUAUUUCCUGAUUCUCUUAAAAAUAAUCAUCUGCUUUAAUGUCCAUUGCCAAUUUCCCCGAUAUGAAAUCCUAUGCUCAGCAUUUUUUCCAAUACAUCGAUCAAGACUUCGUAAUUGGAGAAUUUCGGCUCAGUGUGCCGUGGAGGCCCUUUGACAAUCACAAUUUUCAUUUAGUGGUCUGAAAUUAAAGCUUCUCAGAAUAAUAUAGGAACAGCUUGACCCUUUCAGAUGCUCAAGGACAACCCUCCAGGGAAAUCGUAGGUUUUCGUCCUGGGGAGAGGGUGGGAGCGGGAUGGAAGGGUCAAUGGUGGGAAAGAGGGGGACAUCUGUAAUACUUUCAACAAUAAAGAUAAAAAAAAAUUUUAAAAAGAUGCUAGCGCAAUGCACCAGGAGGUACCUAGAGUCAACAAUGCUAGAGCGCCCUCUGCUGCCCCUAAGAGGCAGGACAUGAAUUACAAAAGCCAGAUGGCUCUGGGUCGCAAUAAAUGGUGAAAACAUUAAGCUCUUAGAAACAUUUAAUCUGUGAAAUUCAAAAGCUCUAAUCAUAUUGUACAUUUGAAGGGGCCACCCGAUUUUAAUUUUUGAGCACUCCUUGGAUAAUUUACUUCUAUUCUGGAGGAUAGUGAAACGGCAAUGUUUUGAAAUGUUCAAUCUGUCAAAUUAUUUCUGUAGUUACAUUUCUGCACUUUUUUUGUUAUAUAUCAAAUUGUGAAGACCUCUUUAGCAAAGAACCCGCUCUGAGUAGAAGUGAUUAGGUAUGGUCGCAGUAUAGGCAAACACAUAAGGAGUGUUAUGUGCUUAAAAAUGAGUUUUUUUCAGUAUGGAACAAUCUCUUCUCAAAUGAAAUGGAGAUUUUUUAAAAGGUUCAAAAUCCUUUUUAAUUCUUAUGUAUUAUAGGGUGUAUAGUAAUAGAAACAUGUACAGUUGUAUUAAUUCAAUGUUGUAAAUUUCAAAAUUAUAGCCUAUUUCUAAACAAACAUCAUUGCCAUGAAGACUGUUGUUGAAUAUAUCAGUGCUAAUGUAAUAAAAUGUUUCUAUUAAUAAUGUGGUUGUUAAAUAAAUCUUGCAAAAAUAAAGUUCUAUUUAUAUUAUGGUGCCAGAAUGAAAUAGCUAUCUAAUAUCACUCAUUUUAAGCAUAGUUUUAAAAUGUAAACUCUUUGAAAAAAAAAAUAGUAAGCCGUAAGGUUGCUGAGAAUAUUAAACUAACAUUUAAAAAUUAUCUGAUUUUCUAUAAUAGAAAAAAGUCUUGAUUAAAUAUUAAACUAAGUUAAAUAUUAAGCUACAUAUGUAAAAUUCCAUAUAAAUGUAGGUAUAUUUAUCUUCUGAAAACUACUUCUCCAAAGAAUGCACUUGUGGAUUUAUGGCUUAAAUGAAAUUUUAAAAAAUUGUUAGAACAUUUGUAUUUUCAUUCUAAGCAUUCCUUUAAAAAGUUAAAAUAUU